GUAGUCGUGGCCGAGUGGUUAAGGCGACAGACUAGAAAUCUGUUGGGAUUUUCCCGCGCAGGUUCAAAUCCUGCCGACUACG
rnacentral:tRNA from 1 species